GGGCCAUUAGCUCAGCCGGUAGAGCACUUGACUUUUAAUCAAGUUGUCCCGCGUUCGAAUCGCGGAUGGCUCA
rfam:Clostridiales bacterium 43-6 SCNpilot_BF_INOC_scaffold_8114, whole genome shotgun sequence.